CGUUCUGUAAGCCUGUGAAGGUGUGCUGUGAGGCAUGCUGGAGGUAUCAGAAGUGCGAAUGCUGACAUAAGUAACGAUAAAGCGGGUGAAAAGCCCGCUCGCCGGAAGACCAAGGGUUCCUGUCCAACGUUAAUCGGGGCAGGGUGAGUCGACCCCUAAGGCGAGGCCGAAAGGCGUAGUCGAUGGGAAACAGGUUAAUAUUCCUGUACUUGGUGUUACUGCGAAGGGGGGACGGAGAAGGCUAUGUUGGCCGGGCGACGGUUGUCCCGGUUUAAGCGUGUAGGCUGGUUUUCCAGGCAAAUCCGGAAAAUCAAGGCUGAGGCGUGAUGACGAGGCACUACGGUGCUGAAGCAACAAAUGCCCUGCUUCCAGGAAAAGCCUCUAAGCAUCAGGUAACAUCAAAUCGUACCCCAAACCGACACAGGUGGUCAGGUAGAGAAUACCAAGGCGCUUGAGAGAACUCGGGUGAAGGAACUAGGCAAAAUGGUGCCGUAACUUCGGGAGAAGGCACGCUGAUAUGUAGGUGAAGUCCCUCGCGGAUGGAGCUGAAAUCAGUCGAAGAUACCAGCUGGCUGCAACUGUUUAUUAAAAACACAGCACUGUGCAAACACGAAAGUGGACGUAUACGGUGUGACGCCUGCCCGGUGCCGGAAGGUUAAUUGAUGGGGUCAGCGCAAG
rnacentral:rRNA from 1 species